rfam:Rattus norvegicus chromosome 10, whole genome shotgun sequence.
GGGGAUUUAGCUCAGUGGUAGAGCGCUUGCCUAGGAAGCGCAAGGCCCUGGGUUCGGUUCCCAGCUCUG